rnacentral:rRNA from 1 species
CAGCCGCCGCGGUAAUACAUAGGGUGCGAGCGUUAAUCGGAUUUACUGGGCGUAAAGCGUGCGCAGGCGGCCCGUUAAGACAGGUGUGAAAUCCCUGGGCUCAACCUAGGAAUUGCGCUUGUGACUGGCGGGCUCGAGUACGGUAGAGGGGGGUGGAAUUCCUGGUGUAGCAGUGAAAUGCGUAGAGAUCAGGAGGAACACCGAUGGCGAAGGCAGCCCCCUGGGCCUGUACUGACGCUCAUGCACGAAAGCGUGGGGAGCAAACAGGAUUAGAUACCCUGGUAGUCCACGCCCUAAACGAUGGGUACUAGCCGUUUGGUGCGCGAUAGCGCUGAGUGGCGAAGCUAACGCGUGAAGUACCCCGCCUGGGGAGUACGGCCGCAAGGUUGAAACUUAAAGGAAUUGGCGGG